UAAUUGUUUUAAUUUUGUUCCCUAUUAUUGUAAGUCUAUAAAGUAUAAAGCAAGCACGGCACACACACGUGUCUAUGUGUGUGUGUGUGUGUGUGUGUGUGUAUAUAAGCACACAUUCAUAUGCAAAUAUAUCUAGGUAGCAGCAAAUUGAAUACUUCAUUAAUUUGUAUACAUCAAGAGAAUAUGGGAAAUAUUUUUACUGACGAUCCUCCUGUUCCCCAAGCUCCACAACAACCCCGUGGAAUUCGCAGUCCUCGGGAGCCUCGUGGUCCUCCUGGUUUUGGACCUCUUUCUAAUCCUUUCAGAGGAUACGAGCCAUACGAGCCAUUCGUUAUUGACCCAGCUGGUCCUCUUUCUACUCCUUUCACAGGAUACGAGCCACGCGUUAUUGACCCAGCUGGUACCACUCCAAAUUAUUGUCUGAUCAGCGUUAACCUUGCGAAGCAACCAUGACGUCUGCGGAGGACAACUCAGAGGAUGGGCCAGCUGUAUCUGGCGUUCAAAGAUGUUGUCCAACUUUGUUACAAGGGACACUACUGUAUAUCCUUGCUUUAGUAGUCCUGUAUUCUAUAUAUUUUGCCAAGCGAAUCCUGUAUAAUUGUAUGCACGCUGUCCAAAGAUAUAUGUAUAUAUGUAUGCACUUGUAUUUGAGUUUGAGAA